rnacentral:rRNA from 1 species
UACGUAGGUGGCAAGCGUUGUCCGGAUUUACUGGGCGUAAAGAGCGCGCAGGCGGUCGUUCAAGUCGCGUGUGAAAGCCCCCGGCUCAACUGGGGAGGGUCACGCGAUACUGAUCGACUCGAAGGCAGGAGAGGGUAGUGGAAUUCCCGGUGUAGUGGUGAAAUGCGUAGAUAUCUGGAGGAACACCGGUGGCGAAGGCGGCAUCCGUGGACCGGUAUUGACGCUGAGGCGCGAAAGCCAGGGGAGCAACGGG